ACGAAGCUUAUAAUAGUAAUAUGUCUAUCAUCCAGAGAAUAAUAAAAUGUACAUUGAUUCGAUAAAGAUGCGCUUGUGACCCGAAAUGAAAUGGAAUAUUUUUGAAUUUGUAUUUAAAUGAUUGAUAUGUCAGCAAGUUAAAGCUGAACAUCAGAUACUGAUACCUUCAGGAUUGUUACAGCCAGUGAUGAUACUGGAAUGGAAAUGGGAUAAAGUUACUAUGAAUUUUAUAUUAG
rnacentral:lncRNA from 1 species